rnacentral:rRNA from 1 species
GAUGAACGCUGGCGGCGUGCCUAAUACAUGCCAGUCGAGCGAACAGACGAGGAGCUUGCUCCUCUGACGUUAGCGGCGGACGGGUGAGUAACACGUGGAUAACCUACCUAUAAGACUGGGAUAACUUCGGGAAACCGGAGCUAAUACCGGAUAAUAUAUUGAACCGCAUGGUUCAAUAGUGAAAGACGGCUUUGCUGUCACUUAUAGAUGGAUCCGCGCCGCAUUAGCUAGUUGGUAAGGUAACGGCUUACCAAGGCGACGAUGCGUAGCCGACCUGAGAGGGUGAUCGGCCACACUGGAACUGAGACACGGUCCAGACUCCUACGGGAGGCAGCAGUAGGGAAUCUUCCGCAAUGGGCGAAAGCCUGACGGAGCAACGCCGCGUGAGUGAUGAAGGUCUUCGGAUCGUAAAACUCUGUUAUUAGGGAAGAACAAAUGUGUAAGUAACUAUGCACGUCUUGACGGUACCUAAUCAGAAAGCCACGGCUAACUACGUG